GCGCUCGUCUUUAUAAAUAGACAAGAGCACCUAACACCAGUGUUGCUAGUCUAGCUACGUUCAGUGUUGUAAGUUCGACCUGUUUGGAACGUAACGAAAACGUGUUUAAGAGUAUUAAAUGUAGUACCAUCAUGUUGAGUCUGACGUGUUGUUGUGUGAAAUACCGCACGUGUUAGAGGUUCUGUAGAAUGAACGGCCCCUGUUUCAACCACCGCUUGCGGGUCCGCAACAACAACUGCCCCAGUCUCUACACCAGUCACUCCAAGAGAUCACCAGGGAACGGGCACUGCUAUCGAACCUGUUUCUUCGGCUUGUAACUCUUGUACCGCUCCGCUGGUAAGAAUUAGAGGAAGUGGAACUCGAGCUGCUUACGGAGCCCUAGCAGCCGAUCCGGCUCUCCCAGCUUCGACGGAGGACCCAUAUCACCCAGCUGCUAGAGCGGUUCACCCGGCGGCCGUUGCGCCAUGGGGAGCUGGCGUGGGUACUCGUGCUGAACCGUACGGGUUUAUCGAUCCUACGAAACGCGCACGUGUUCCGACCCUAACGGCUCCAUCAGUUCUGGUGGGAGUGAUUUCUAGACCCUCGGCCGGAACUUGGUUUGCCGGAGCGGUUUGAACUGCGGUAACGCCCGCUCGUUGAGUCCCUUCUGUGUUGGUUCACGGGGUUCGUACCGGGUUGCUGUCACCUAGAGGAGGUCGAGGGCCAAGAACCUCUUCCAGAGGCCCAGUCGGCUUUCAGGUCGUCAUAGGGUUGGUAUUAGCGGUCCCUUGAGUGGCCACUCCAUCGAGCCCCCGAGUGGUCUCUCACCCGGCUCCAUGUUGUGUGCCAGCCGUGGCAUGGUACCCGACGGUCUCCUUUCGGCGAAGCGGAAGCGACGUCAGAACGCGUACGACUGCGCCCGGAGUGGCUUCUCUCGGCUACUGCUGUGCAAGAAGUGGCGGAACGGCCGUUUCCAACUCCUCCUCUCCCUGUACCACCACCAGCGGUAACCUUCCGACUACUUUCACAGACGACAUACUUAAGAGGUUAUCUGCUCACUCACACCUCUACGGAACUAUACUCUCCCCCUCUCCGAUGAAUUCCGUAGCUUA
rnacentral:rRNA from 1 species